UACGGAGGAUCCAAGCGUUAUCCGGAUUCACUGGGUUUAAAGGGUGCGUAGGUGGAAUGACAAGUCAGUGGUGAAAACCUGCAGCUUAACUGUAGAACUGCCAUUGAUACUGUUGUUCUUGAGUACAUUUGAUGUGAGCGGAAUGUGUCGUGUAGCGGUGAAAUGCUUAGAUAUGACACAGAACACCAAUUGCGAAGGCAGCUCACAAAACUGUAACUGACACUGAGGCACGAGAGCGUGGGGAUCAAACAGG
rnacentral:rRNA from 1 species